GCCAAGAGUGUUUUCAUUAAUCAAGAACGAAAGUCAGAGGUUCGAAGGCGAUUAGAUACCGCCCUAGUUCUGACCGUAAACGAUGCCAACUAUCGAUCCGCCUGUGGACCCAAAAUUCAUAGGCGGGGAGGUCGCCGGAAACGAAAGUCUUUCGGUUCCGGGGGAAGUAUGGUUGCAAAGCUGAAACUUAAAGGAAUUGACGGAAGGGCACCACCAGGAGUGGAGCUUGCGGCUUAAUUUGACUCAACACGGGAAAACUCACCCGGCCAGUACAUCGUAAGGAUUGACAGAUUGAAAGCUCUUUCAUGAUUCGGUGAAUGGUGGUGCAUGGCCGUUCUUAGUUCGUGGCGUGAGUCGUCUGCUUAAUUGCGAUAACGAGCGAGACUCCGAUUGUUAACUAGUCGAGGCGUUGAUUCGUCUGCACCUCCGACUUCUUAACGAGAUCGGGCGCUUCAAGCGCCAAGAGAUGGAGCAAUAACAGGUCUGUGAUGCCCUUAGAUGUUCGGGGCUGCACGCGUGCUACAAUAGUAGCAACAACGGGAUUGUCCUCGCCCGACAGGGCUUGGCAAACCGCUGAGAUGUUAUUAUGGCUGGAAUUGAGUGUUGAAAUUCUCUCUCAUGAACGAGGAAUUCCAAGUAAAUGCGAGUCAUCAACUCGCAUUGAUUACGUCCCUGCCCUUUGUACACACCGCCCGUCGCUGCCCGGGACUGAGUUAUUUCGAGAAAUCCACGGAUUUGCGGGCCUCGGCCACGC
rnacentral:rRNA from 1 species